rnacentral:rRNA from 1 species
CCUACGGGGGGCAGCAGUGGGGAAUAUUGGACAAUGGGGGCAACCCUGAUCCAGCCAUGCCGCGUGUGUGAAGAAGGCCCUCGGGUUGUAAAGCACUUUCAGUGAGGAAGAACGCCUGGUGGUUAAUACCCAUCAGGAAAGACAUCACUCACAGAAGAAGCACCGGCUAACUCCGUGCCAGCAGCCGCGGUAAUACGGAGGGUGCGAGCGUUAAUCGGAAUUACUGGGCGUAAAGCGCGCGUAGGUGGCUUGAUAAGCCGGUUGUGAAAGCCCCGGGCUCAACCUGGGAACGGCAUCCGGAACUGUCAAGCUAGAGUGCAGGAGAGGAAGGUAGAAUUCCCGGUGUAGCGGUGAAAUGCGUAGAGAUCGGGAGGAAUACCAGUGGCGAAGGCGGCCUUCUGGACUGAAACUGACACUGAGGUGCGAAAGCGUGGGUAGCAAACAGGAUUAGAUACCCCGGUAGUC